GCUUCGCCGAGCAAGAAUACAUCCGGCAACGAGCAACGAAAGCCCUGAGAGCACACGACACUCCCUGGAUCAAACUUUUCACCUCGUGGCGCUGAUCGGAGUCCAGAAAGCUGACCAGAGAGAGAGAGAGAGAAAAAGAGAGAGAGAGAAAGACAGAGGGAAAGAUGCUAGGGGGUGCCCACGCUACCGCUCCUACGAGGAUCCUCACGCAGGAGGAAACUUUGGUCUCUCGGGUCAAAUGGCUCACUACUGCGCCUAGGCUUUGAUAAAGGGAACGGCUGAAGUGGGAUUUUUAUUAUACCGUACGGAACUUUUGUCCUACGGGCAAAGGACCAGAAAAAAAAGGGCCAGGAUAGAAUCAGAGAAAGAACCAGAGGAAGAUACGAAUAUCGCGGAGAAUUACCGUCGGGAUUUAACGCGUCGUGGUCCGCGACGCGUGAUGAAAUUUCUGGAGGAGGGAGAUACUAGAAGGAGGGAGGAAGAAGGAGAGGAGUUUCUCUCUCUCUCUCUCUCUCUCUCUCUCUUUUUCUCUUUCUCUUUCUACGCUCACAGAUAAGAUUAUUAGCUUCUUUUAUCGUAAAUCAUCUUUCUCUAUUUCUCCUCGAAGAUUCCAGAGAAAUAAAUUAUUAUGAAGAGUCAAAGAUGUACAUAUAUAUAGUAUAUACCUAAUUGUAUCUUUCUCGAAUGAUUUUUCUUACGAUCGUGUUCUCUUAUCCCUUUCCCGCUCUUUCUUCUUGUCUUCUUGAAUUAACAUUAACUGUAAAAAAUAAGAAAAAAAAAAGAAAAGAAAAAAAGAAAAAGAAGAAGAAAUAAGAAAAGA